rnacentral:rRNA from 1 species
UACGGAGGGUGCAAGCGUUAUCCGGAUUCACUGGGUUUAAAGGGUGCGUAGGUGGGUUUGUAAGUCAGCGGUGAAAUCUCCGGGCUUAACUCGGAAACUGCCAUUGAUACUAUAGAUCUUGAAUUUUCUGGAGGUAAGCGGAAUAUGUCAUGUAGCGGUGAAAAUGCUUAGAUAUGACAUAGAACACCAAUUGCGAAGGCAGCUCGUUACACGAAGAUUGACUCUGAGGCACGAAAGCGUGGGGAUCAAACAGG